AUCAUCUUUGCUGCUAAAAUCAUUUCUGUACCUAAAAUAAAUAUAUAGGAAAUACUAAAACCUAUACCUAUCCCGCCCGAGCAACCUACCCUAUCCUUCGCUCGCGCUCAGCACAGCACCGCAUAGCGCAUCAGCUGGCAGGCCGGAGGCCCAUUUUAGCGCAGCAGAGCAGCCCACCCCACAGUGCACUUCUUCUUCUGUUUCUUUUUCUCUCAUCACACUGAUCGCUAGGGCCCCUUGUCAUCUCCUUCGAGGCAUCGUGUUCUUCCUGGACUCGGGAGCCCGAUCCAACCCGCCCUUGAUUCGCUCGAUCCCUGACUCCUUCUCGUAACCGAGUACACCGAGAGACUCCCCUUGAUCUCCUUUGCCGAUUCCCUGCAUCGCCUCGCGGAACCGAGCUCGAAGUCGACCGCAUGGACCUACCGAGCUCCGCUGCCUGAAGCCGCUCCGACGAUCGAUUCGUCACCACAGGAGGGGCACACCGGACCGACCACCCGCCGCCGAGACGAAGCUCCUGGGCAGCCGCCGUGCACGUCUUCACCGUCGCCAGCGGAGGACACACCCGCCGCCGUUCCAGCCACCAUCGCCACCGCAUCGCACGCCGCAUCCGUCCGCUCCUUCGCCCUCGCCGGAGAAGCUCCGCCGCCCACGCCCGAGGCCGCCGCUGCCUUCCUCUGUUUCCGAUUGCUCGGAGCAUGACGAGUAGAAUUAUCAUGAAUUGUGAGUGCGACGACCUUCAUCAAAUAUACCAGGCAAGUUACACCUUGAUCAUUCUUCAUCCUAUUAUUUUUCCUAUGCAUGUAGUUAUAUAUAUCACUAUAUUAUGCAUGUGUAGGAAGAUCAUGGUAGUACGUUACUGCUAAUGAGAUUCAGCUUAAUAUGACCUUAUUGUAGAUCGUGGUAGUUGUACUCUUGCUAUGCUAUGUAGACGGGGAUUGGUUCAUGUAUUCAUCGAGAUUAUGUGAGGACUAUAUAUAAUAUAACUUGAGUAAAAACUUAAUAUAUAACUCACCUCUGGGCAGUGGUAUUGCUUGGUGUUGAGGGAAGGCAUCAUGGGGUCUUGCACCUUUUCUAAGGCUAUGCGCCCAUGAGAGUGCACCCUAAGUGGAAUGCCGCCCGGGUUCAAAAAGAUUAGACAGACUUAGUGACUAGUAGCUUCCAUGUGCGGCCACUGGCUAUAUAGGCUCUGGCUUAGCUGAUCAGUUGUUGGAACCCUUGCCUAGACAGUGUCGACAGAUGUAGCAUAUGUAGGUGGGAUGUGGCGGUCAGGUGGUUAAGGGAACCUCUUUUGAAAGACUUCUCUCAAUCUUCGGAUUGGGUCCAGUGGGUAAAGCGUACUAAACUCUAUAGAGUAUUAAAACUAAUCAUGAUUAGCCGUGUCCACGGUUAUGGACAAAUUUGAGCGACUAUUCCAUUACAGUUGUUGGAUGAUCUUGACAGAUGAUACCUUAAUAAAAAUUGAGUGGGAAACUUAAUAAUUGGGAUGGUUUGGAGUUGGAUUGCCCAAAUCAACCAUGUGUAUUUAACUGUAGCAAGACAUGAUUAAAAUUUGACUAUUAUAUUAUCUAGUUUUUUUUUGAAACUUGUGACAGUGGGAGAGGCUCCCACUAUGAUAUAUUACCUUUCAAAAAUUACGUUGUACAAGUUAUAUACAUACCCUAACCACUUUGUUGUCUAGGGAUGGUGAGUCUAGACAAGAAAGCCUAGUCAGAAGGUAAAGAAUCUAAUAGUAAAAAGAUAAAGUCUUUCUUGCUUUCUUUCAUCCUAUAUUGUAACAGUCCAAAGUCUACUUUAAAUCUAGCCAACCAUGAGUUGUAGGAGGGGUUGAUGUUUCUGAAGAGUUUGUCAUUCCUUUCUUUCCAAAUGCUCCAAGAUGCUUGCAGGAAAGUCUCCGUGAACAUGGGCUUGUUCCAGUUAUGCUUGGCCGUUUCUAGCCAGCUGAGACGUGUGGUAUGAUGUUCUGGGUUCAUUCCAAGCUUGGACCAACAGAUUUUGCUGAAAGGGCAAUUUAGGAUCAUGUGGUCAACAUCUUCUUCCCUUUGGCCACACAGAAGGCAGUUUACAUCUACGUUGUAGUGCCUUCCCCUAUUAUAUUAUGUAGUUAUCAAGGAAAAACUAGCUUUCUGCAAAACAACCACUACAUUAUCCUCUUGAUAUACCUUGCAUAUAGAAGUAGGUCUGUUAUAUCAUUCCCUGUGUGACUUGCACUACAAGAAAAAAAUACACUUCCGUGA